rnacentral:rRNA from 1 species
AUGUGUCUCAUGCCCGCUCCCGCUUGCAAAGACGGAGCUAAUCUUGAUAACCACCAUCUGAACGGCCGGCGUGCCAAGUCCAAACGUGGUUGCGCAGAUGGUUACAUUGACUACUUUGAACCCAAGGAGCACCUAUUAAUUUGCUCAUGUGCCUUCGGCUAUAUAUUUGCAAUGUGUGUUUUCUGCUUUACUGUGUUGUACACUCCAGUCGCGUCUGGCACAGCUAACUUGACCCGGGGACCCGGCGACAUCUUCGUCCGACUUAUAGGAAAAAGUGGGCUUGAUCCUGGCACCUCUCCACCUACUUCACUGGCUUUCCGCCUUGCCAUGGACUUUGAUCGGACACCACCAACCUACCGGCGCUGCAGCGGAGGAGGCAACUCGUUGCUGCGCGUCUCCUACCAUGACAUGAUCCUGGCGUGGGCUCAAGUGCCGUAUUUUUGCGUCUAUGGCGACCGGAGCAUUGGCCAUGUAGGCACCUUGGAGGUGGAGGCCAAGGCAGACGCCUCCGUGUUGCGAGAGGAGGUGCGCAACUUGCUUUGGAGCGAGAUUCAGGUCGUGGGUAAGGUCGAGUUCGACGUUGAUGGAGAGGUGGCGGGCCUAGGGUACCUUCGCUGCAAGUUCUUCAUCCUGAAAGAUAAGGCUGCGGAUGUGCCCAAGAGCCUGUGCAUCCUACUCCCUCCGUCCGAAAAUACUUGUCAUCAAAAUGGAUAA